rnacentral:tRNA from 1 species
UGAUACUAGAUGCAUGCAAGAUGUAGUGAAGGUACAAAAAUCAUCCUUUUCUUUACAAUUGUAUCCACUGUGAU